rnacentral:rRNA from 1 species
AGAGUUUGAUCCUGGCUCAGGACGAACGCUGGCGGCGUGCUUAACACAUGCAAGUCGAACGGAAAGGCCCCCACCUUGGUGGGGGUGCUCGAGUGGCGAACGGGUGAGUAACACGUGGGUGAUCUGCCCUGUACUUCGGGAUAAGCUUGGGAAACUGGGUCUAAUACCGGAUAGGACCAUGGUUUAGUGUCUCAUGGUGGAAAGAUUAUUGUUUUGGUGCAGGAUGAGCUCGCGGCCUAUCAGCUUGUUGGUGGGGUAAUGGCCUACCAAGGCGUCGACGGGUAGCCGGCCUGAGAGGGUGGACGGCCACAUUGGGACUGAGAUACGGCCCAGACUCCUACGGGAGGCAGCAGUGGGGAAUAUUGCACAAUGGGCGCAAGCCUGAUGCAGCGACGCCGCGUGGGGGAUGACGGCCUUCGGGUUGUAAACUCCUUUCGUUAGGGACGAAGCCACACCUUUUUUUGGGUGUGGUGACGGUACCUUUGUUAAGAAGCACCGGCUAACUACGUGCCAGCAGCCGCGGUAAUACGUAGGGUGCGAGCGUUGUCCGGAAUUACUGGGCGUAAAGAGCUCGUAGGUGGUUUGUUGCGUCGUCUGUGAAAUUCCGGGGCUUAACUUCGGGGUGGCAGGCGAUACGGGCAUAACUAGAGUGCUGUAGGGGAGACUGGAAUUCCUGGUGUAGCGGUGGAAUGCGCAGAUAUCAGGAGGAACACCGAUGGCGAAGGCAGGUCACUGGGCUGUUACUGACGCUGAGGAGCGAAAGCGUGGGGAGCGAACAGGAUUAGAUACCCUGGUAGUCCACGCCGUAAACG